rnacentral:rRNA from 1 species
UUUCGAAUCAUUCACAAUGGGCGAAAGCCUGAUGGUGCGACGCCGCGUGAGGGAUGAAGGCCUUCGGGUUGUAAACCUCUGUCACCGGGGAAGAAACGCUUCAAGUUAACAGCUUGAAGCCUGACUUAACCCGGAGAGGAAGCAGUGGCUAACUCUGUGCCAGCAGCCGCGGUAAUACAGAGACUGCAAGCGUUAUUCGGAUUCACUGGGCGUAAAGGGUGCGCAGGCGGUUGGGUGUGUCAGAUGUGAAAUCCCGAGGCUUAACCUCGGAACUGCGUCUGAAACUACUCGACUAGAGUACUGGAGAGGGUAACGGAAUUCACGGUGUAGCAGUGAAAUGCGUAGAUAUCGUGAGGAACACCAGAGGCGAAGGCGGUUACCUGGACAGUUACUGACGCUCAGGCACGAAAGCAUGGGGAGCAAAAGGGAUUAGAUACCCACGUAGUCCCUGAGCGGGCUGGCAAGGCGCAU